CAGUAUGUAGGGAAGUUGGUAUCCCACUUGAUUUGGAUUCAAGAGAUCGUAGGUUCGAGUCCUACCAUACUGACCA
rnacentral:tRNA from 1 species